UGGGAGCUCUCCCAUAUGGUCGACCUGCAGGCGGCCGCGAAUUCACUAGUGAUUCAACCAUAAGGCCUUCUUCACACACGCGGCAUGGCUGGAUCAGGGUUCCCCCCAUUGUCCAAUAUUCCCCACUGCUGCCUCCCGUAGGAGUCUGGGCCGUGUCUCAGUCCCAGUGUGGCGGAUCAUCCUCUCAGACCCGCUACAGAUCGUCGCCUUGGUAGGCCAUUACCCCACCAACUAGCUAAUCCGACUUAGGCUCAUCUAUUAGCGCAAGGUCCGAAGAUCCCCUGCUUUCUCCCGUAGGACGUAUGCGGUAUUAGCGUCCGUUUCCGAACGUUAUCCCCCACUACCAGGCAGAUUCCUAGGCAUUACUCACCCGUCCGCCGCUCUCAAGAGAAGCAAGCUUCUCUCUACCGCUCGACUUGCAUGUGUUAGGCCUGCCGCCAGCGUUCAAUCUGAGCCAUGAUCAAACUCUAAUCGAAUUCCCGCGGCCGCCAUGGCGGCCGGGAGCAUG
rnacentral:rRNA from 1 species